rnacentral:piRNA from 1 species
UAAUAGAGGAUUUUUCCUAAGGCCUGGAAG